UACUAGACCAAAAUACUAUAAUACCUUCGCAUAAUGAUACCUUGUACUCUACUCUGCUAAUGUUGCUAUGAGCAACGAACUAAUGUUUAUUCAAAUAAAAACAUGAAAAAAUUAGGCUCCGUGGCUUCGGUAGGUAAAUUAAACUUUUGACCUUGCUGGGAGGACGAAGGAAUUGCAAAGACGUGCGAUGAUCUAACAGGAUUUCAGCGGGCGAUUCCCCACCAGGUGCGCCGUUGCUGCGGUUUAGCGCGUCUAAGUGAAGCGGGUUCACGGAACUGACCAUGAAUCGUCCGGAGGUUUCCCCAGAAUUGCACAAGGAUCUGUGAAACCCGAGAGUUCCACGGCAUAAAAAAGGCGUGUAAAUUUGUGCGCAUGAAGCAAUCAUGAUUGUGUCAUGUAAAACUAGCAAUUAAAAUUUCUCAGUAUUAAUUUCCUUU